rnacentral:rRNA from 1 species
AUUGAACGCUGGCGGCAUGCCUUACACAUGCAAGUCGAAAGGUAACAGGUCUUCGGAUGCUGACGAGUGGCGAACGGGUGAGUAAUACAUCGGAACGUGCCCGAUCGUGGGGGAUAACGAAGCGAAAGCUUUGCUAAUACCGCAUAAGAGCUACGGACGAAAGCAGGGGACCGCAAGUCCUUGCGCGAACGGACCGGCCGAUGGCAGAUUAGGUAGUUGGGUGGAUAAAAGCGUACCAAGCCGACGAACUGUAGCUGGUCUGAGAGGACGACCAGCCACACUGGGACUGAGACACGGCCCAGACUCCUACGGGAGGCAGCAGUGGGGAAUUUUGGACAAUGGGCGAAAGCCUGAUCCAGCCAUGCCGCGUGCAGGAUGAAGGCCUUCGGGUUGUAAACUGCUUUUGUACGGAACGAAAAGACUCUUUCUAAUAAAGAGGGUCCAUGACGGUACCGUAAGAAUAAGCACCGGCUAACUACGUGCCAGCCGCCGCCGUAAGAC